rnacentral:lncRNA from 1 species
UGCUUUAUAAUUUUAAAGUUUAUUCUACUGAUAUUUUUAUAUUAAUGAUUACUUAUUAAAUACAUUGGUUACCUUCCUGCAAUUGUUGGUUACUGUCUAGUCUAGAUUUGGUUAGUAUAUAAUGCUGACCUGGUUACUGUGUAAAAUUGCAAUGGUUACUGCAUAUUAUUACCCCCAGUUCAUGUUCUGGUUACUAACAUUAUGUAGUUUGGUUACUGUCUGACAUUAAGUUGGUUACUUUACAGACCAUACGCUAACAGUAACCAAAAAUAUACUAAAAGGUUGCUUCAUUUGAUAUACUGAUCGGUGGAAUAUCGCUUAUAAUCUGAAAUUUGAUUGACAAUGUUGUUAUGAAUUAUACAGUUGUAUGAUUGACAAUGCAAAAUGCAUUUGAAAAUAUGUUAUAUAUUCUGG